UUUUUUUAUUUUCUUUUUAACAUGACUUAAAUUAAAACAGAUAUGGAAGUAGUCAAAUAUUAUAAACGGGAAUAUGAAGAACAAACUUAUGAUGAUUAUUUUAUUAUAUAAUAAAGUUUGGAUACCAUCAAAAAUUAAAAAUAAUUCCUAUUUAUGCGAUACCCUUUCAUUUCAGAUUGAUAAUACUGCACAAACAUAUAUUAUAAUAUAAA
rnacentral:lncRNA from 1 species